rnacentral:rRNA from 1 species
UACGGGGGGAGCAAACGUUGUUCGGAAUCACUGGGCGUAAAGGGCGCGUAGGCGGGCUGACGAGUCUGGGGUGAAAUGCCGCGGCUCAACCGUGGAACUGCCUCAGAUACUGUCGGCCUCGAGGGAGGUAGGGGCGUGCGGAACUGUAGGUGGAGCGGUGAAAUGCGUUGAUAUCUACAGGAACUCCGGUGGCGAAAGCGGCGCGCUGGACCUCGUCUGACGCUGAGGCGCGAAAGCGUGGGGAGCGAACAGG